UGUGGUCAAAUUCCACAGAGUUUGUUGGUAUAUCUAAAUCAUAAAGGUUAAGUGUCCGGAAGUUCUUCAAUUUGCGCAAAUCCCAUAAUUUAACACUAUCAUGUGCUGCAGUUGCUAGAAAGUAACCAUUUUCUGAGAAAGAUAUUAGCAGUCACUGCUCCAACAUGUCCAUCAAAUCUUGCAACAUUUGCCUGGCUUUUUACAUCCCAAAUUUUAACAA
rnacentral:misc_RNA from 1 species